GAUGAACGCUAGCGGCAGGCUUAAUACAUGCAAGUCGUGGGGCAAGCUUUGGUAGUAAUACUGAAGCCUAGACCGGCAAACGGGUGCGGAACACGUACACAACCUUCCUCUUAGUGGAGCAUAGCCCAGGGAAACUUGGAUUAAUACUCCGUAACAUAUUGAAAAGGCAUCUUUUUGAUAUUAUAGCAGCAAUGCGCUAAAAGACGGGUGUGCGUAUGAUUAGGUAGUUGGCGGGGUAACGGCCCACCAAGCCUACGAUCAUUAACUGGUGUGAGAGCACGACCAGUCACACGGGCACUGAGACACGGGCCCGACUCCUACGGGAGGCAGCAGUAAGGAAUAUUGGUCAAUGGACGAAAGUCUGAACCAGCCAUGCCGCGUGGAGGAUGAAGGUCCUCUGGAUUGUAAACUUCUUUUAUAUGGGGCGAAAAAAGGGUUUUCUAACUCGACUGACGGUACCAUAUGAAUAAGCACCGGCUAACUCCGUGCCAGCAGCCGCGGUAAUCACG
rnacentral:rRNA from 1 species